CACGUAGGGUGCGAGCGUUAAUCGGAAUUACUGGGCGUAAAGCGUGCGCAGGCGGUUUCGCAAGUCAGAUGUGAAAGCCCCGGGCUCAACCUGGGAAUUGCAUUUGAAACUGCGAGGCUAGAGUGUGUCAGAGGGGGGGUAGAAUUCCACGUGUAGCAGUGAAAUGCGUAGAGAUGUGGAGGAAUACCGAUGGCGAAGGCAGCCCCCCUGGGAUAACACUGACGCUCAUGCACGAAAGCGUGGGGAGCAAACAGG
rnacentral:rRNA from 1 species